UACGAAGGGAGCUAGCGUUGUUCGGAAUCACUGGGCGUAAAGCGCACGUAGGCGGAUGUGUCAGUCAGGGGGUGAAAUCCCGGAGUUCAACUCCAGAACUGCCUUUGAUACUGAGAAGCUUGAGUCCGGGAGAGGUGAGUGGAACUGCGAGUGUAGAGGUGAAAUUCGUAGAUAUUCGCAAGAACACCAGUGGCGAAGGCGGCUCACUGGCCCGGUACUGACGCUGAGGUGCGAAAGCGUGGGGAGCAAACAGGG
rnacentral:rRNA from 1 species